UCAUUGGAGAGUUUGAUCCUGGCUCAGGACGAACGCUGGCGGCGUGCUUAACACAUGCAAGUCGAACGGAAAGGCCCUGCUUUUGUGGGGUGC
rnacentral:rRNA from 1 species